ACGAACGCUGGCGGCGUGCUUAACACAUGCAAGUCGAACGCGAAAGGGACUUCGGUCCUGAGUAAAGUGGCGCACGGGUGAGUAACGCGUAGAUAACCUGUCUUCAUGUCUGGAAUGAUACGCCGAAAGGGGUACUAAUACCGGAUAUUCUUGCUUUUCAUAAGUUAUGCAAGCAAAGGUGGCCUCUGCAUAUGCUACUGCAUGAAGAGGGGUCUGCGUACCAUUAGCUAGUAGGUGGGGUAAUGGCCUACCUAGGCGACGAUGGUUAGCGGGUCUGAGAGGAUGAUCCGCCACACUGGCACUGGAACACGGGCCAGACUCCUACGGGAGGCAGCAGUGAGGAAUAUUGCGCAAUGGGGGAAACCCUGACGCAGCGACGCCGCGUGAAGUGAGGAAGGCCUUCGGGUCGUAAAGCUCUGUCAAGAGGAAAGAAGUGUACAAUGGCUAAUACCUGUUGUAUUUGACGGUACCUCUAAAGGAAGCACCGGCUAACUCCGUGCCAGCCGCUGC
rnacentral:rRNA from 1 species